GCGCGGCGGGGCUGCGGAGGUGCGGGCGCGUCCUGCUGGGCUGACCGGCAUGAGAGCGUCGGGACCGCGCGCGACCAGCCUUCAGCUGGCCCUUCUUUCUUUCCUUUCGGAGGAAAGUGGUGAGCGCUAGAGUCGUCAUUUCUGCAACCAACUUCCACCCAGGAUCGGAAGAGAGACAAGCCUUGCCACGAGGAUGACUUCUGAAAUUGAGGAACUACAGCAACAUCUCAUUCGGCAUCAUCAGAAAAGGCUGGGAGCUGCGACUUGGUUGCGUGCUCGUUACAGUGAAGAACUACUGCCUGUCGGCUAUAUGGACAGUCCCGCUGCCUGAGUGAGGCGUGGCUCAGUUCCCCUGCAGUCAGUGUAAAACGCCUGGUAACUUCGCUGAGUGCAGGAUUAAGCACAACGAGUACAGGUUCUUAUGUAAUGAGACACAAGGAGAGGGCAAGUGCUGAGGAAGGAGAAAGAACACUGUUGCACCUGCUAAGAUUCCAUGACUUCUAUCAGCUGGGACAACUGUGGCCUCAGCUCCAAUCAUCCUGGUACACACUCUAGAGGUGGCCACCCUGAGCGUCUCCUUGGUGUCCCACAGCUCAGAACUGCUUUUAGAGCUCUGCUAGUUCGGUGCAGUGGCAAUGAGCCAGAAGAAUACAUUCAUGUUAUAUCCUUCAGGGAAACACAAGCUGCUCAAAAGCUGCCUAAAAUGUACCAUGACAUCACUUGCAGACCUCCCAGAAUCACCCAGAAGGAGGAAAAGUCAGCAUUCCCAGCCCGCCCCCAGAGUGAUUCCAGGAGAUUCAGACCCUAUAAGGCAGUGAAGCUCUGUGAGCAGCAAAGAUAGAGUUUUGAAAGUUUUCUUGUUCUUGACGACUUGGGGAUUUCACAAACAGGAAAAACUGCUUUUACUUUUCCUAAAGAGGAACCUUUUAUGCCUCAUGAUGCAUUGAUGCCUGGAACUGGGCUUGCUUUAAAGUAGAGCGGAAAUGUAAGAAAUGCUCUUAGCAGAGGACAAGCAGAGGUAAGCUCUCCCCUAAUCAUGCCAGCUAUUUGUUCCAGACAUCCACUUCUUAUGGUACUUGCUUCUACUUCCACUCUGCGAACAGAGUAAUUAAGUCAAAAAGCUGUAGAUAAUAUAGAACGGUCCAAUAUGGAAUUAAAUUGAUAAUUCUGAAAAGUGUGGCUAGUCCCAAACAUAGCAGAGACUGCCAGUGAAAUGUUCUUCCUCCUUUCCUGUGUACUACAUCAGAAGACAUUUGUCUGGAAAAUGAAGAGCCGAGCUAUUCUGAGCCCGGAUACAUGAACUGUCCUGGAAUUUGACUCAAUCGGUCAGAUUUGUGUCUCAGUUACAGUUAAUCCUGAUUCACUGUUUUGUCUGUACCACUCUAAGCAAGAAUAGAUUCAGGUUCACAGAAAUGGGUUCUCAUAGCUUUUCUGUGAGGGAUAGAAGUUGGCCGAAUACACACCGCACCCUUCAGCUUGUGGCCAACCAUUUGGGCAGACCUCAGUUGGAUAUCUGCGGUUUUUCUCUUCAUAAUCAGGGUAAUAAACUUCAGAAGUAUGGUACUGUAACUGUAAUCAUUUGGAUUCAUACCAUCACAUCUUCCAAAUGCUUUGCAAACAUGAAUACAGGAAAACAUUUUAUUCCCAAAACAGGGGAAAUUACUAUUUUCACUUGAUAUGUAGACAAACUGAGGCACUGAUAUUGAAUGAAAUACUACCUUUUAAAACAGAACUUGUUCUCUUCAUACGAUUUUAUACUAAUCCCAUACAUCUAAACACUGUCAGCAAAUUAGAUUUGUUUUACCACAAAGUAGAUUUUAAAAGUCUGAAGAAAGUUAGUCAAGAGAAAAAUGAUAAAAGUCUAAUGAAUAAAACAUGCUUGGGAUUUGACAUUAAAAUAAACAGAAUGGUCUUGCAGUUUACUGGACAAAUGUAACAGCCACGUGUAAAUUUUGCUAUUAUUACUCUACCUUGGAUUUACUGGAAUACAGAAGGGAGUUGUCCCAUUUCUGCUAUUUUUGGGUAGGAGGACCAAGCCAUUCAGUUCUUUGCCAUGCUGAGUCCCUUUCAAAGCUAUUUAUAUAAGAUGAUUAUCACUCAUUAAGUAGUUUACUCUUCGUUGCCAGUGCCGCCCAUUUGCAGUGCUGGGAAUUUAAGUUUAUGCACAGCUGUGGCAGAACUCUGCAUCCACUGAAAUCAAGAUCUAGGAACCUUGAAGUAAGGUACCAGGAAAGCAAAUUACUUGUAUUUCGUUGGGAUGGCUGGGGAGUUUUAAGGCCCUGAAUUUAUUUCUACUAUUCUGUAUCUCAUCUGAGGGUGGAAGUUAUCGUGUGUUUUUGGCAGUGGAGGUAAGGAGAGGAGCUGCUUCUGAGCACUAAAUUUACCAGAUCUAGUGUGCAAUUAUUCUGGCUUUGGGAUUUUUGCUGAGAUGUGUAAAAAGAUGUUGCCUGCCAAAUAGCAGAGCAGCCAGCAGCAGGGAUGAGUACCUGAUGACAAAUUUUUCAGUUUGGUAUUUAUGGAUAGCUGAUAAGUCUCUGGUGUGAAUAUUCAUCUAAGAUGCCAUGUUGUGUAUUUCUAGGAUAUUGAUCCCUUCUCAUGCAAGAAAAAGAUCAUGCCAUGUCAGUGUAUCCCCUCUUCCCACAGCACUAGAAUGACUUGCUUAUACAAUGCUGCUCUUCAUGUUGUGUAUUCACUGCAAUCUAAUUCUGUUCUGUGUGGAGAAAUUGAUUUGAUUUAGUUUUUUCUCAAUUCUUUUCAUCUGAGGAUUAGAGAAUCCUUUAUCCUUCCCUGCUAUGCUGCCACAUCUUUUUUCCUGUCAAAAGCAAAGUACCAUUUUGGCUCAAAUGUGAAUCUUCAUUUAUUACUUGUAUUUUGUCUGGUCUUUUGUGAAGCAAUGUCUACAUAUCUAAUGUUCUGCAGCCCACUGGGUGCUCACAAAAUAGAGAUGUGUUAAUGCUGGCUGACAUCUUGAAGCCCUUUGUAAUCCUGUUUUCCCUUCUCAUGAUUCUACAAGAGGAAACAAGAAAGCUUCCUGCAGGUAUGGAGGUGAAAGGAGGUUAUUUACUUCUGUAAUACACAGUUCUUCCAUGCAUUAGCAAUCAAAGCAGGCAACUCUGUAAAUCUCAUCUGGGUGCAUGGCUAAUCCUCUGUUGUUUUCUCCCACUGUGCUUAUGCUGGUGUUGUCAGCAGCUCUCCUUGAGGAAUAAUCUACAGCAAAUACGAACUGCUUUAGCAGAGGAUGUUGGAAUAGAUCUCUUGAGGUCCCUUCCAAUUGUGAUUCUGUGGAUGCCAGUAGACAAAUAAAAGGCUAAUAGGUUGUG